UUUUGUAUCUUAGGAGCUCUGAUCCUUGGUGUGGAUGAUGAUGACUGAGGAUUCAAGCGAGCACCACCAGAGGUAACAACUUAACUGGGCCCUUAACAGAAGGUGGGAAUGCUGUCAGCAAAAUCAAACUGUACAAUAGAUUAUUUUUUAAAAAAUGGCUGUUACCUCUGUCAGAUACUGGACAACAAAUGUGUGAGACUAGUGAAUGUCUAGACACUUCUGUCUUAUACCAAAAUUGCUUGCCAGACUGAAACUGUAAAAUUAAAGCUGGAAGAUUAUCAACAAAGCGAUCAUCAGUUCAGAAAGGUGGCUGCCAGCACAGGAAACGUAUGACUUUUCAAGACAUCACUGCAAGGAGCAAUAGCACAGACUUUGUUUCCCCCAGAUCUCCUAUACAACUCCAGAUCAGCACACACAAAUACCAGGAAACAAGACCUGAUGAUCUUACGCUUCUCUUGUUGAAGUAGCAAUUACACAUCUCUUCUCAAGCAAUCUUUUUUGUCUUACAUCCUUGUGACUCCCUUGUUCUGGCACCUCUGCAGAUUGAUAGUGUGGCAUGGAAUUUCCCCUUCCCAGGAAAAGCUAUGAGGAUGUCAUGCAGGAUGGCUCUUCAGAGCAGACUGCUGGCUGCCUGCUCACAGCAGAGGAGGCUCAGCUGCCCCCGCCAUGGUAUCUCAGUAAGGCCAGCAGUCUGUGCCUGCAGAGGGGACAUGGGGCAGACAUGACCCAUCUGUACUCAAAUGCUGUGGAGGUACCAUAUAGGUAAGAAAAAGCCAGAAACCUUAUAUAUAAUGCUCCUGCUCCACAUAGAUGUUGUUCCCUCAGCUAGCAGUGUUGCACAUGUGGUCAUUGCCCUGUACAUUGGCUGGGCUGGAAGGUUUUAUGUGAAGGGAAAAGUUCAAAUGGAAGCUAUAUGCAGCUGGUCAGAAGCAAGCUACCUGGUAGGCGGCACAAGCAGGCUUUCUGAGGAGCAAGCUACUCAGUAGGCAAACAGGCUUACUGACCUAGCGAGGAGGAAUUCAUAUAUGCCAGCUAACGGAUACUGUAACCUAAAGAGGAAUGAGGGAACAAAAUUCAGAACAGGAAUGUCUAGAGGCACAGCACAGCAAGGCAGGCUUUCACGCAUCUGUUGUAGAAGCAGCACAGGUUGGGGGAUUUCAGAUGGCUGUACACCAAUGUGUGUAGCAU
ensembl:lncRNA